UUCCUUUAUUGCAAAACAACAGUGAGUAAGGGAACUUAUCCCUUCCUAUAAAAAGAGACCUCCAUUACCACACAGACACAGUCCCUGCUCCAUUUGCCUUCUUUGAUCACAGCUUUUUGACUUUCACUUAGUCAGUUAGAAGAAGAUGAAGUGCAUCGCGCUCUUCCUGGUGUUGUCGCUGGUCGUCCUCAUGGCUGAACCAGGAGAGGGGUUUUGGGGGAUGCUUAUUAGUGGAGCCAUUCACGCCGGACGAGCGAUCCAUCGUGCAAUCAGAAGAAGACACGGCGAGACCGAGGACCAAGCUCUGGAACGGGUGCUGGAGCGAGAGAGAGCUUUUGUCUGAGUCUACGACGGUCCAGCCGAAUGAGCAACUCUGAAUAAAAGACAUGCUUCUUG